CACUAAAUGACUGAUAAAAGUAAUAGUCUCUUAAACUAAAAUAUGAAAUAAACAUUUCUUUAGUGA
rnacentral:tRNA from 1 species